GUUAAUAUAGUCUAACUAAGACAUUAGAUUGUGAUUCUAAUAAUAGAAGUUAAAUUCUUCUUAUUGACC
rnacentral:tRNA from 1 species